GGAAAAGAUUUAUCAAACACAAUUAAAUGAUGUACAAUAUACAAUACAGCAUAUGGAUGAAAGUGACCAGCAGCAGGAAGUUGAGCGAGGAGGAAGUUCCUGUGUGUGUUUGUGACUGAUCUGCAGUGACUUACAGCUCAAGCACUGAGAGCCUCAACAGAGAACUGAUCUGAUCUGAUUCAACAUGGACACAUGCUUCAUACUGAUUCUCAUUGUGGGAACAGGUUUGGUGACUGGAGACAACAUUGGGCCAGAUAAAGAGACAGAAAAAAACACUAAAGAAACAGAAACUGUCAAGUUGAGCUGCUCAUAUAGUACAAACAGUGAUAAUGUUUCUAUUUACUGGUACAGACAAUAUCCUAACAAAGAGCCUCAGUAUUUAUUAUACAAAAAUGCACAUUUGGCGAGUGGUGAACAAACAUCUGACCGUCGGUUUCAGUUAACUGUACGAACAUCCACUGAACUCACUAUUACUGAUGUUCGUCUGUCAGAUUCAGCUCUCUAUUAUUGUGCUCUAAGAGUUGAAGCCCAGUGAUACAAAACAUGAAACACGUCGUACAAAAACUUGAAGAUCUUUUGACUUUGAUCCUAUCUAGUAAAAACCAAAAUCAAAACCAUGAUCACAACCACUAUCUAAUCCAGCCUUGAAAGUAAAAAAACAUGAAGAUGGUAACAACCAGCUGUUUUGAGGCCUGUUAUAAAACUUCAAAGAAACAUUAACAAUAAGUGCAGAUAUUAUGUUCCAUGUAAUUCCUUUUAUGCAUAAAUAGUCUCAUAAAUAAUUAUAUCAUUUUCAUCAUUAUUAUUUUAGUGUGGGAAAAUAUUAAAAAUGCAGGCAUACAAUUAAUUUUAUUUUAACCAUAAACCAUUAUCCACCACAACAAAGAUAGAAAUAAACUCUUUGAGCCGAAUGAGAGGGAGGAGUCAAAGAAACCUCGUCAAGCAGACACUAGUGUAGAUCAAGUGCUGUUGCUCAGUACAGUAUUUACAGUCAUUGAAUCACAGACUAGAUCAGGGUGAGAAUAAGAUCUGGAUUUAGACGAGACUUCAUUAAAAUCAGGAAAGAUGACACACUGGAUUCAAAAAACGAUCAUUGUUCUCAUAUAUGUCUGGGGAAUAGAGUCGCAGGACAAUGUUGAGCAGAAAACAAGAGUUCAGACUGCUUCUGAAAGUGGAGCUGUAAUAAUCAACUGUACAUAUCAAAGCCAGUUCCCCCCGACUCUCUUUUGGUACCAGCAAAAAGUAAACGGAGUUCCUAAAUAUAUGCUGAACAGAUUUGGUCAAACUGGAGAUGAAGACAAAGAGUUCAAAGACAGAUUUAAUGCACAUAUCAACACAUCUUCAAAAUCAUUUCCUCUGAUAAUCAAGGACCUGCGUGUGUCUGACUCUGCUGUGUACUACUGUGCUCUGAACCCCACUGUGACUCAAACACACUCAACACUCACACAAAAACCUUCAUAUAUAAAUAUAUUGGCAUCAUGCAGUAGCUGUAGGGAGCCAGUAGAGGGAGAUCAGUAUCAUUUGCUGAGAUCUUAUAAAA